CUGACGAUGUUCUGGGAUCGUACCUCCUUUGCCCACAUCCUAAAAAACCCAAAUGUGGCUCCCUCAUCAUCCGCUUCCCCUCUGGCCUGAUCACCCACCUCAUCGAAAACACUCGGAAAGGGAAAUUCCUGCUGGAGAAAUGCAAAACUGAAUUUGGUUCCAUAGCAGAACUGAUCGAACACUACACGGACACUCUGGAUGAGCUGGCGUGUCUGCUGAGCUGUGCCCGGGUUAACCACUGUUACGAGUGGGAGGAAAGUAGCAGCAAACUGCAGGCUGUGAAGCCACUCAAGAAAAGCACCCACAGAAAGGAUUGGGUUUAAACUCACGACACUGGAUUGCCAACCUCCAUAAUAAGUGACUUCUCUUUAUAUUUAUAUUAUAUGUAUAUAGUAUGCCAGUCAUUUCAUCAAAGGGUACUUCUUUGUAAAGUAAUAUUUUGUGCUUGCUACUUUUUUAUGUUUUUCAAUACAAUAUUUUUAAUAUUUGUAUUUGUGCCUGUAAGGCAUCAGAGGCGUUUUGUUUGUGUUUUUAACAUGUGAAAUUUGAAAGUGGAGCGGCAUUUGUCCCGCAGAAUGUUGAACCUGAUGGCAAAGCCAUACUUUUGUUUUUCUUGUUUCAAGUUGCACAAAUAUAUUUGAUUACAUUUUAUUAUUCCUUGAAUUUGAAUCUUUCUUUAUGUGUUUAGGCAUUAAGCCUGGAUGAUAUGUAAGCAGUUAAUCCUAUAUACAAUGCUGUGUCCUAGGUAUAAGAACAUAUGACCAUAAUGACACCAAGUAUUUUCCAUAAGUUGACACCUCCAGUGUAUUUGUGUGUUUAAAUCACAGCAACUAAGAAGUCAUGUUCUGAUUUUCUGUGUUUUUAACGUUUGUGUGAAGUUAGUUUACUGGAAGUUUAAACUGGUAAUGUCUUUAAAUUGUCUGAAAUAAGAUCUUUAUCAUAAGAUUGUCUGUGAUGUUCUCUUUCUUUCUCAUUUUUAAAUUUAAGUAACUAAUUUGAGUACUUUGUACCAUCUUUUACACAUUAGGCCAACAAACUAUAUCCAUAUUGUUCACCCCUGUUAGAGAUUAAAACAACAGGUGUCCUGUUUUCAACCCACUUCCUGUAAAAAUGUUGUUUUUCCAUUAUUAUGUAUGACUUUUGCAUUAGCACAAAUAGUGGUGUUGAUUCAGUUUUAUGAUCAUUUUGGAGCCUGCAGUUUGUGGAGCUGUUGGAUUUGUAUUCCAUUCACACUGACAGGUGUU
rnacentral:lncRNA from 1 species